rnacentral:miRNA from 1 species
AAUGCAGAAUACCCAGUUAAAUUUGAAUUUUAAAUAAACAAUGAAAUUUUGUUUUGAUGUAAGUAUGUUCCAUGCAAUAUUUGGGACAUACUUAUACAAAAAAUUUAUUUGUUGUUGUUCUGAAAUUCAAAUUUUACUGGGCAUCCUGUAUUUU